rnacentral:rRNA from 1 species
UACAGAGGUCUCAAGCGUUGUUCGGAUUCAUUGGGCGUAAAGGGUGCGCAGGUGGCGCGAUAAGUCGGGUAUGAAAUCUCGGGGCUUAACUGCGAGAAUGCAUUCGAUACUGCCGUGCUUGAGGACUGGAGAGGAGACUGGAAUUCAUGGUGUAGCAGUGAAAUGCGUAGAGAUCAUGAGGAAGACCAGUGGCGAAGGCGGGUCUCUGGACAGUUCCUGACACUGAGGCACGAAGGCCAGGGGAGCAAACGGG